CAAUCUUUAGUUUGAACCCUUCUCUCUGUUGCAGGUUGUGGUGAGCAGAGUGACGGGAUAACAGAGCUGAGGGGAAGGAUGUGGAAGGAGAGGAAUAGAAAGUGAAAAGAUAAAGGAAAAGCACACCUCAAAGGGUAGGAGGCACGAGAGCAGCAUAACUGGAAAGAAAAGACCAGGGACUGAAGAAGAAACUUUAAGGAAUAAAAAUAUGGGAAUUAAAGAAUAAAAAUCCUCCCACUCCUUAAUGCACAUCUGCAGGAGAUGAACCAUCGCAGUUAUCAUGCAAGCCUGUGCACUGUCUGUGCACUUGAACACUCCACUGGGCAAAGAAGCUGGCGGAAGGUAGUAAGGCUCCAGCAAUACAGUAGAGAGAAGUUAAAAUGUACAAUAGGACCAAAGGGAAAGGAUCAGAGAAAUCCCUCAAUGGCAACUAUUCUACUCUCAAAGGAGCUAUCUAGAAAUGCUUGUGCCAGAAAUCCCACUGGACCUUGGGCCUGCAUCUAGUGAAUACACCCAACAUCCUACAACUCCUUUUUGCAGGGGGUAAGAAAACACCAGCGUGGUAGUUCUGCUGAUGUAACAGAUUAUCCUUACAUGGGACAAGAGGAAUAUUGACCACAGUGUAGAGCUUGGAUUUUUUUACUUGUUACUUUAUUGAAGAUAUGGUUCUAAAAAACAUUUUGUUCUAAUUAGCCGCUCAUUAUUUGCUAGGAUUCUUCACCAUUUUUGGAGCUGAUUAUUCAUUUCUCUGGAUGUUAAAGCAUUUCUUUUUUUUUUUCCCCCACUAGUUUUGCCUUUUGUGCAUUUAGUCCUCCCUAUAGUCUUUGCAUCAAAACUCCAGUAAACCAAUCUCCUCAGAUGGGAAAAAACACAAUGUGGGUAUUCUCUUUACUCUCUUCAUCCUUGACCUAUUUUAUAUGGGGGAGGGGGUAGUUUAUUUUGGGUUUUGUUUGUUUUUUGCUAGGCUGGUGAGGUUUUUGUUGGUGUGUUUUUUGAGGGGUUUUUUUUGGUUGGUUGGUUUUGUUGUUGUGUUUGGGAUUUUUUUGUCCUUGUCUUUCUUCCUAAAAUUGUUAUGACAAACUGUGAAAGUACUUGAUAGUCUCUCUACUAAACCUUUUGAAAUUAAUCAAUUCAUUUCAUAUCGCCAUCAAAACUGUUUUACUCACAGUUAUUUUCUCAGCAACAUAAUUGCCCCUGUUCUCUAGUUUGUCCUCACUGGCGUAAAAGGUGAAUGUCUGCAGAACAUUGGAUCCAGCUCUGAGGAAUUCCCGGUGAAGCUGACGAACUGCAAAACAAGAGACAAAGAAGAGAUGUCUGGUGCACUCAUUACUGUGUUACCCCAAAAUCAAAUGUUUAUUGUUGUAAUGUUACUGUAAAAUAAGUGAUACUGUGUUUACUAGAAGAGCCAUUAUGAGAACGCAGAAGCAGUACCCCAGUUUGUGUAGAACUUCUUUCUACUCACUCUCAGAACAUUAGGUAGAAAACUUUCUCCUUAAUUUUUCUUUGCUAAGAAUGACUGAAGAUUUCUAUUUAAUUAGCAGAUUCAGCUUUGCCUGCCACCUUGCCUAUCUUCUACUUUGUGCAGUCCUUCAGACUUCCCAGUUAUAAAGAUGCACAGUGAUUUAGGAAGGGAAAGCAGACAUAUAACAGAAGAACAUGAAAGCAACAAGGAAUACCAGACAAAAAGAUCAUCAAAUGAAACAGCCGCAUUUUCUUAGCUUCUAGACUAUGAAGAAGAAAACAGAAGAAACUAUUAGGACAACAAAUUAAGGGACAAGAGGAUAUUUAUACAGAAGAAUACGGUGUUUUAUUACUUCCCUUAUUUUGUAUUUUUGAGUUUUCUCCCUUGACAAAACUCUAAAAGAGUCUAGUCAGCCAAAACCAAAGCUCUGUUUUGCUAAAUACACCCUUAAUUAAAAGAUGCUUCCUUGCUCCAGAAAAGUGACUCACAACACAAAGUUAAUUCUUCUCAUAUGUCUGCAGAUGAUCAUUUUACUACGGAGACAACAUUUUCUUUAAAGGAAAGGUUGCCAUUACUUUUAAUGGACAAAUUUCCUACAUUAGGACUUUGGGAGUAGGCUCUGCAAUGAUAGUUUGUGCCUUCCUGGCUGUAAGCAGUACACUGUGAUUGCCACAGCAGGAGCAGAACUGGAACUGUCAAUUGAUUUUAUAUGUAUAUCCACAGAAUAAGAAUUAUAAUAAUGUCUAGAACACCACUGAUUGUGUAAAACAGAGGUAAAUGCUUGACAGCUUAUACCAAAUAUAGGAAUAAUUUAUUCCCUAGAUACUGUACACAAGAUACUUACUUUCUACAUGCACAAGAAAACUGCAGUUUCUGUGGCAGAUGUUUAGUAAAGGUUUCCUGAAGACCAGAUUUAUCAUAACUCAUUGUCUAUGGACAGCCUGAGUCAUUAAGAAAAUGCGCGAAUUUGUCAUGAGUAUAAAAUCAGCAGUUUGAGUUGCAAGAAUCAACUUGCAUACGUGCAGGCAUGUUUGCUUUCACUGAAGGAUCAAUGAAAGUGUAGUGUCCUUGCUUUUCGCUAGUAGUACAGUAUUUAAUUUCUAAUUACAGCCUUGUAAUUACUCCACUGUGAUUUAACACAGUGCUCCUUUUCUCAGCAGUCACAAAGAUCUUUUCAGGAACAUAGGUUACAGUAGAGCUACAUUUCAAAAAGUCCCUGAGAGUUGGUUAGAGCCUGGUGCUAGUAAUGCCAAGGUUGUGGUUUCAAUCCCUGUGGGGCCAUUCAUUUAAGGGUUGGACUCGAUGAUCUUUGUGGGCCCCUUCCAAGUCAGAAUAUUCUGUGAUACUGUGAAAAGCCCCUGGAAUCUGCAUGAACUGGUGGGAUCAAAUUUCAUUCUUACACUUUAACAAAGAGACAAAGAUUCAUAAUUCAGGGAGUAUUCUUUUCCCUACACCAUUACAAUAGGCUACUGAUCCCAAAUAUAAGGGCUAUCUCUGUAUGUUUCUAGUGCUCUGUAAUUUCUGUUUCUAUUCCCCUCAGUGAGAAAGCAUUGAUGAAAACCAGUCAGGAAAUGGAGAAAGGAAAAAACAAAUCUACAAAUAUUUUCAUAAAUCUUCUAUGAUAUUCAAUAGUAGACCAGAUUUGUUUACCCCCAUGGUUGGUGGCUUUAAAUAUGGUUCUAGCAUUCCUAGAAGAUUGCCUGGUAUUUGUGUGAAUAAGGAUGGUGACAUAAGUAUGCAAAUGAAACACAAUCUAACACAUGGGAUUAAGGAACUUCAUACCCUAAAAUAUCAGAUAUGAGAACAGGAGGCUCUUGAAUGGGUCUACAUUUUCAGGGAAAAAAUGAGCCUGAAUCUCAUUUAACCCCAGGCAGAUCAUUUUUUACCAGAAGAAUGAAUGCACUGUUGUUGGUAUCAAACCCACAGCAUGAUGCACUAUCAAAACCACAAACCACUCGGUAAUUUACUUGUGUGACUUCCAGCAUGCUAGUGAAACUGUGUUUCCCUCCAGCAUUUGAGAAAUGGGGCUAAUAGCCACAUAUGAGACUAAACCAUUGUUAAUAAUCUUAUGCAUUUUAGAAGUCAGGUGUAUAACAUAAAACACUAAGUUUUAAUUUCACUCUGCCGUGAGUUGGACAUUCCGUAAAAGACAGAUAGAGGCUAACAAGAGAUAGGGGCAAUAAGCACUACCUGAUCUGUCUCAGAAGAAAUAUUUAGAUCUCAUUUCUAAACUUGUCAGUUUGGUGAAACUCCUCUCCAGUAGUACAGAUAAUGGCCUCAAAGUCACUUUUUUUAAAUUUGGGUGGUUUUUUUUUUAAUCCCUUGCUGCAUUCUCAGAACCUCCCACCUUUUCCUUCUUUCCUUAUAAAAACAAGAAGCUCUGGUAGUUUGUAUGGUUUUUACAUCCACUGGCUCAGCCAGUUGCUCCUUGUGUUCUUUACACCUGCUUUCAAAGUAACGUGACCCUUGGGCAUGCAGAAGCAAAAAAGCAAUAAUGGAGAGGAGGCAGCCCCCCACCCCGCACAAAAAUCAGUGAAUACAUUUCCACUGAAGGGUGUAUUUAUAAAUAGCCUGUAAGAGACAUGUGGAGAGGGUCAAGGGCUUUUGAGGUGGAAAAUAACAAGCAAAGGGGAAAUAAAGAGCAUGGGAUAAGUGCUAUGAGUUGUAAGUUGGAACGUGCAGAGGCAGACAAAGUUAGAGGUGGAAACAAACAGAAAGAGAGAUAAUGGAAUUCUCUUUGGGAUGAGCAAAGAGAGUCAGCAAAUUAGGUCAUCAAUCCUUAAACCUUUACUGGAGCUCUGCACUAUCUAAAGCUGUCCAUAACCCUAAAUUAGGCAUGCUACACAUAAGUGACACUUGAAGCCUCAGAGGAAUUAGAUUGAAUGAAUAGGUAAGGUGUACAAAGCAAUACAACAGGGAGAGCUAAGAAUCUCUCCUUCCCCUCUCUUCCUUCUUCCCAUGUGUAGAAGGAAAAGACUAAUUUGGAAGGGCAAACACAGAACAAAGAAAAUUUUUUCCCCCAGGAUAUUCUGAAUUGGCUUGUGGGAUUAACUGCACAUCGUAUUAUUAGUGCAAAUGCUUUCUUGUAAUGAAGCAUACAUAAAUAGUUAAUAGCAUCUGCUUCUGCACUAUUUAUGCUAAACACUAUAAUCUUUAUGCUGGAAGGCGUGGAAUAGUUGUUCAUUUUUGUCUCCAUCCACUUUAAGAGUGUUACUCCAUUAUCUGUUUAUUGCAAUUUUUAGGUUCUUUUGAGGUCUAUCAUUCCCCAUUUCAUAGUGGAGCCAGAAACAUUAAAUACUCCCAUUACAAUGUUUAUUAAAAACUGUUAUUUCUCUGAAAGAAUAAAAAAACUAUUUUAGUUUAUAAAUAUGUAAGAGUCCUAGAAUGACUAAACCAAAACAAAACAGAUGGUUAACUGCAGAAUUCUUUUCCCUGAGAUGUUAUAAAUCAUAAGCUUUAAAUGAUCAGCUCUAGGACAGACUGGACAAAUUCAUGACUGAGAAAUCACCUAAUGUUAUUAAACACAAAUGUAACCACAUCUGCAAUAAAAAGUCCCUGAGAUGCAAAUUA